UUGAACGCUGGCGGCAUGCUUUACACAUGCAAGUCGAACGGCAGCGCGGGCUUCGGCCUGGCGGCGAGUGGCGAACGGGUGAGUAAUGCAUCGGAACGUGCCCAGUAGUGGGGGAUAGCCCGGCGAAAGCCGGAUUAAUACCGCAUACGACCUGAGGGUGAAAGCGGGGGACCGAAAGGCCUCGCGCUAUUGGAGCGGCCGAUGUCGGAUUAGCUAGUUGGUGGGGUAAAGGCUUACCAAGGCGACGAUCCGUAGCUGGUCUGAGAGGACGACCGGCCACACUGGGACUGAGACACGGCCCAGACUCCUACGGGAGGCAGCAGUGGGGAAUUUUGGACAAAGGGGGCAACCCUGAUCCAGCCAUGCCGCGUGCGGGAAGAAGGCCUUCGGGUUGUAAACCGCUUUUGUUCGGGAAGAAAUCCUCUGGGCUAAUACCCCGGGGGGAUGACGGUACCGGAAGAAUAAGCACCGGCUAACUACGUG
rnacentral:rRNA from 1 species